GAAACUUAUUGGAUAAGUGAGCGGAGCCCAUAGACAACCUGUAGGCCAGGGAACCCAGUAGGUCAGAUGUGGAGACCCCUGAGAGAGCCCCCGCUGGUCAGAAGGCUGAUCCCCAAGAUUAAAGUAACAAUCAGGAAAAAACCUGUGGGAAACCCAGCAGGUUAAAUUGGCCAAGUCUAGGACAUGCAGGAUAAUAAUAGACCCAGUGGAGACCCUAACAUGUCAGAUGGACAAAGCCCAAAUUUAAGGUAAAUAUGGAUGAAAGCCUGUGGGGAACCCAGCAGGUUAGAUGGGCGGAGCCCACGACAUGCAGGAUGGCACUAACCUGUGGUGCACCAAUCAUGUCAAAUUGGCAAAUCAUAAACUAAAAAUAAUGGCAAACCUAUGGGGAACCCAGCAGGUUAGAUGGGCGGAGCCCAGGACAUGCGGGAUGGCACUAAAACCAGUGGAGACACUAUAUAUCUAGUAGAUCAGAUGGGCGAAGCCCAACUAAAGUAAAUAUGGAGGCAAACCUGUGGGGAACCCAGCAGGUUAGAUGGGCGGAGCCCAAAAACAUGCAGGAUGGAACUACAUAAGGUAAUGAAAACGGAAAACCUGUGGGGGACCCAGCAGGUUAGAUGGGCGGAGCCCAUGACAUGCAGGAUGGCGCUGAAACAGGUGGAGACCCUAUAGCUACAUAUAGCUAGCAUUUCAGAUGGGCGAGGCCAAACUUAAGGUAAAUAUGGAGGAAAACCUGUGGGGAACCCAGCAGGUUAGAUGGGCGGAGCCCGCAACAUGCAGGAUGGUACUAGUACUAAAAACCUGUGGAGCACCCCGCAGGUCAGAUGUGUAAGCCCAAUUACGUUAAUAAAAUGGCAAACGUGUGGCCUGGGGCACUCAGCACAUCGAUGGUUGAGUCCCAGGGACAUGCAGGGAAUUUAUGUCAUAUAAAUGUAUAACACUACUAACACUUGGUAAAUAUAUACACUGGCGACAGAUAGGGGCAGGAGGGCGGGUCGUCAAAAGAAACAUGAACGUAAUUCCACCAGCCUCCUCAACUGCUAGACAAAGACUGAAAUUAGCGUCACCUAAACUCUUGACCAUUGGUCACUAUAGUCACGUGAUUACUAACAACAUACUUAAUAUUCAUGCAUAAUGACAUCAUCUAAUUACUGCUGAACAAACGUUACCGAAGGUUAACUCUCCGGCUUAUUAUAUAUAAAACCUAUUUACAUAGAUAUAUGAAGUUGUACAUUUGUAACAUUAACAUGAAAAUUCCCUUCCAAAAAA